UGGGGAAUCUUCCGCAAUGGACGAAAGUCUGACGGAGCAACGCCGCGUGAGUGAAGAAGGUUUUCGGAUCGUAAAACUCUGUCUUUUGGGGCGAACGUGAGUAUGGUGAACAAUCAUAGUCAGUGACGGUACCAAAGGAGGAAGCCACGGCUAACUACGUGCCAGCAGCCGCGGUAAUACGUAGGUGGCAAGCGUUGUCCGGAAUUAUUGGGCGUAAAGAGCGCGUAGGCGGGAUAGUCAGUCUGUUGUAAAGUGCGGGCUCAACCCCGUGAUCGCAAUGGAAACAGCUAUUCUUGAGUGCAGGAGAGGAAAGUGGAAUUCCCCAGUGUAGCGGUGAAAUGCGUAGAUAUUGGGAGGAACACCAGUGGCGAAGGCGACUUUCUGGACUGUGUCUGACGCUGAGGCGCGAAAGCCAGGGGGAGCGAACGGGAUUAGAUACCCCCGGUAGUCCUGGCCGUAAACGAUGGGUACUAGGUGUGGGAGGUAUCGACCCCCCUUUCCGUGCCCGGAGUUAACGCAAUAAGUACCCCCGCCU
rnacentral:rRNA from 1 species